rnacentral:rRNA from 1 species
CAGUCGCCACGGUAAUACAGAGGGUGCGAGCGUUAAUCGGAUUUACUGGGCGUAAAGCGUGCGUAGGCGGCUUCUUAAGUCGGAUGUGAAAUCCCUGAGCUUAACUUAGGAAUUGCAUUCGAUACUGGGAAGCUAGAGUAUGGGAGAGGAUGGUAGAAUUCCAGGUGUAGCGGUGAAAUGCGUAGAGAUCUGGAGGAAUACCGAUGGCGAAGGCAGCCAUCUGGCCUAAUACUGACGCUGAGGUACGAAAGCAUGGGGAGCAAACAGGAUCAGAGACCCCUGUAGUCCCUGUCUCUUAUAC